AACCUACGGGGGGCAGCAGUGAGGAAUAUUGGUCAAUGGUCGGGAGACUGAACCAGCCAAGCCGCGUGAGGGAUGAAGGUACAGAGUAUCGUAAACCUCCUUUGUCAGGGAACAAAGGCGGGGACGUGUCCCCGGAUGAGUGUACCUGAAGAAAAAGCAUCGGCUAACUCCGUGCCAGCAGCCGCGGUAAUACGGAGGAUGCGAGCGUUAUCCGGAUUUAUUGGGUUUAAAGGGUGCGCAGGCGGUCUGUUAAGUCAGCGGUCAAAUACGGGGGCUCAACCUGCGUCCGCCGUUGAAACUGGCGU
rnacentral:rRNA from 1 species